rnacentral:rRNA from 1 species
UACGGAGGGGCUAGCGUUGUUCGGAAUCACUGGGCGUAAAGGGUGCGUAGGCGGGUCUUUUAAGUCAGGGGUGAAAUCCUGGAGCUCAACUCCAGAACUGCCUUUGAUACUGAAGAUCUUGAGUUCGGGAGAGGUGAGUGGAACUGCGAGUGUAGAGGUGAAAUUCGUAGAUAUUCGCAAGAACACCAGUGGCGAAGGCGGCUCACUGGCCCGAUACUGACGCUGAGGCACGAAAGCCAGGGAGCAAACGGG